GUCCCGACGGGCAGGCGGGUCCAUGCCUGAAGACGGCUCAUCGAGCACCACCACAGAAGUGCGACCAAGCAAUGCAGUUGCAACCCACAGGCGUCUCCUCUGGCCACCACUGAGAUGUCUGGUCAGAUCGUGCUGCUUGCCACCCAA
rnacentral:sRNA from 10 species